rnacentral:rRNA from 1 species
AUUGAACGCUGGCGGAAUGCUUUACACAUGCAAGUCGAACGGCAGCACGAGGGCAACCUUGGUGGCGAGUGGCGAACGGGUGAGUAAUACAUCGGAACGUGCCCAGUCGUGGGGGAUAACGUAGCGAAAGCUACGCUAAUACCGCAUACGAUCUAUGGAUGAAAGCGGGGGACCGUAAGGCCUCGCGCGAUUGGAGCGGCCGAUGGCAGAUUAGGUAGUUGGUGGGGGUAAAGGCUCACCAAGCCUGCGAUCUGUAGCUGGUCUGAGAGGACGACCAGCCACACUGGAACUGAGACACGGUCCAGACUCCUACGGGAGGCAGCAGUGGGGAAUUUUGGACAAUGGGCGCAAGCCUGAUCCAGCCAUUCCGCGUGCAGGAUGAAGGCCUCGGUU